UACGUAGGGUGCAAGCGUUGUCCGGAAUUAUUGGGCGUAAAGAGCUCGUAGGCGGUCUGUCGCGUCUGCUGUGAAAAUCCAGGGCUCAACCCUGGACCUGCAGUGGGUACGGGCAGACUAGAGUGCGGUAGGGGAGAUCGGAAUUCCUGGUGCAGCGGUGAAAUGCGCAGAUAUCAGGAGGAACACCGGUGGCGAAGGCGGAUCUCUGGGCCGUAACUGACGCUGAGGAGCGAAAGCAUGGGGAGCGAACAGG
rnacentral:rRNA from 1 species